GGCAUUUUCGGAGCUCACUGGCUUCGAGUUCCAUCGGAACUCCGAAGUUAAGCGAGUAACGCGCGAGAGCAAUCCCAUGAUGGGUGACCCAUUGGGAAGUUCUCGAGUGAGUUCCCAGAAACAAAAUUGUGAGGGCGUAGUCGGGGCCCAAAGCGGGGACAAUAUCGUGCUACGGUGGUGGAUUGGGCCCGGAAAGUGGUCCACCCCGGGCCGGGAUGUGACAAUUUGGUAUCACAGCCUAACCCUAGCCGUGGUGUGCCGACGAGGACGUCGGGCCCCUAAGGGGGGUGGAUUGUGACAUUCCACAUCACCUAGGGGAGUAAUCCUUAAAUGUAUAUUCCCAUCCCUACCUAGCACGAGACUUUUUGGGAGCUCACUGGCUUCGGGUUCCAUCGGAACUUCGAAGUUAAGUGAGUAGCACGCGAGAGCAAUCCCAUGAUGGGUGACCCACUGGGAAGUUUUCGUAUGAGUUCCC
rnacentral:sRNA from 1 species